rnacentral:rRNA from 1 species
GACAGAGGGGGCAAGCGUUGCUCGGAAUUACUGGGCGUAAAGGGCGCGUAGGCGGCACGGCAAGUCGGGAGUGAAAGCCCGGGGCUCAACCCCGGAGGGUCUCUCGAAACUGCCGAGCUAGAGUGCGGAAGAGGCAACCGGAAUUCCCAGUGUAGCGGUGAAAUGCGUAGAUAUUGGGAAGAACACCGGAGGCGAAGGCGGGUUGCUGGGCCGACACUGACGCUGAGGCGCGAAAGCCAGGGGAGCAAACGGG